rnacentral:rRNA from 1 species
UACGUAGGGGCCGAGCGUUGUCCGGAGUUACUGGGCGUAAAGCGCGCGCAGGCGGCCGCCCGCGCCGCCGUGAAAAGCCCCCGGCUCAACCGGGGAGGGUCGGCGGGGACGGGGCGGCUUGAGGACGGCAGGGGCCGGUGGAAUCCCGGUGUAGUGGUGAAAUGCGUAGAGAGUCGGGGGAACACCCGUGGCGAAGGCGGCCGGCUGGGCCGUUCCUGACGCUGA